ACUCUUCAAAUAGAUGUGUAUUUUCUAAUGCAUACAGUAGCCUAUGUAUUUCUCCUGUCUAUAAUUUGCCCACUGCCAGGUGAGGUACCACAAAAAAUGUAUCAUUUAAGUAAGUAUAAAAUUAAACAGAAUUGUUUAAAACAUAAUAGGUUGAUGUAUGUAUAGUUUAAACAAGAUAAAGUCAAGCGUAUAAAAAAUAUAAAUUUUAGCAUUUUUUUUUGUAUACUAGGGACGUUUUUUUAUCAGGAGGGUAUCUGGCGGUCCGUGCGUUGCCCAAAAUUUGAGACCGCGCGGACAGUCCACAUACGACGGCGCAUGCGCGUGAAAAUGUUGCGACAGGACACCACUUUAAACAAUAACACAAAGAAAUUCUUCAUCUAUUUUCACUUCUUCCUGGAACAGAAAGCUGUGGAGCAUUUUUGUCACCAUUAUGUUUGAUUUCUGUUCUUUGUUUUCUUUGUUUUUCCGCGAUCGGCGCUGAGCGUCGAGAGUUAAAAAAAGAGAUUCAACUUUAAAUGAAAAGCUCCGCUCAUCAAUGUCAGUUCUCAAAUGGCUGGCCAAUCACAGUGGAGGAGGGGCGGGACAUUGCCAUAGCAACCAACUGGCUCACACAGCUGAAGUAUCACAGCUACCAAAGCGCCCAGCUGAAGAAAGCUGGAACUCAGCUGGCAUUUGGCGUCAACCAGGCGUUUUCAGACGCGUUUAAAAGUUUUGGAGUAUCUCAAGAAGUGAGACUGUGAGCCGGAAGUGAAGAUGGACGGUGUCGGUUUGAGUUCUAAUAACAAACUGAAACCCAACCAAAUGCUGCCGAAUAAAAUGAAAGUAGAACUAAGUAGUAACCCGAGCAAAGAUUCAGAGGGUUUAUCAGAAGCUCUGAUCUGGAGUUUGAAUAUGGAUGCUGAUAAAUGGACCUCUGAAUUCUUAGAACUUUCGAGAAGUCCAAGAAGGGGAUCGGAGGUGGCGUAGCCUUCAUGGUGAAUGAGGGCUGGUGUAACAGCGGAAACAUCAACAUGCUGCGGUGCUUCUGCUCUCCUGGAAUGAUGUAAUUCCUGGCAAUAAAAAGUCGGCCUCA